CUAAUUAGCCUAAUAAGCUAAUUAGCCUAAUAAGCUAAUUAGCUUAAUAAGCUAAUUAGCCUAAUAAGCUAAUUAACCUAAUAAGCUAAUUAGGUAGACUAAGCAGUAUUUAGCUUGCUAACUAAAUCUAAGGUAAAUGUUUAGCUUGUGAAUGAAAUAUUUAGUUUAAAACUGUGACAUUCAUAAAUGAAUGGAUAACUUGGUGAAAAUAUGAAAAUAAACCGGCAUGUUUUGUAGAGUCUGAAUAAUCCAGAUUGUUGCAGUCUUGGUCUACAGUUGAACUUCCUCUGC